AUUAAAAUUGUUGCAGUUAAAAAGCUCGUAGUUGGAUUUCUGGUUGGGCGCAUUUGGCCCGCUUCGGUUACGAGGUUGAGUGCCGUUUUGCGCCCGCCAUCCUUCUAGAGUACGACUCUCCCUUUACUGGGUUGGGCCGGAAUCUAGAUCAUUUACUUUGAAAAAAUUAGAGUGUUUAAAGCAGGCUUACGCUAUGAAUACAUUAGCAUGGAAUAAUAAUUUAGGACUUUGGUCUUAUUUUGUUGGUUUCUAGGACUAAAGUAAUGAUUGAUAGGGAUAGUUGGGGGUGCUAGUAUUCAGCGGCCAGAGGUGAAAUUCUUGGAUUCGCUGAAGACUAACUUAUGCGAAAGCAUUCACCAAGGAUGUCUUCUUUAAUCAAGAACGAAAGUUGGGGGAUCGAAGACGAUCAGAUACCGUCGUAGUCUCAACCAUAAACUAUGCCGACUAGGGAUGAGUGAACGUUGCUUAUUCGACUUCAUUCGCACCUUAUGAGAAAUUAAAGUCUUUGGGUUCCGGGGGGAGUAUGGUCGCAAGGCUGAAACUUAAAGGAAUUGACGGAAGGGCACACCAGGAGUGGAGCCUGCGGCUUAAUUUGACCCAACACGGGAAAACUUACCAGGUCCAGACAUAAUAAGGAUUGACAGAUUGAAGAUCUUUCUUGAUUUUAUGGGUGGUGGUGCAUGGCCAUUCUUAGUUGGUGGAGUGAUUUGUCUGGUUAAUUCCGUUAACGAACGAGACCUCGACCUGCUAAAUAGUUUGGUGAAUUCUCCGGGAUUCAUUUACGACUUCUUAGAGGGACUAUCGGUGAUUUAGCCGAUGGAAGUUCGAGGCAAUAACAGGUCUGUGAUGCCCUUAGAUGUCCUGGGCCGCACGCGCGCUACACUGAUACGUUCAUCGAGCUUACAACCUUGUCUGAGAGGACUGGGUAAUCUUUUUAAACCGUAUCGUGCUGGGGAUAGAUUAUUGUAAUUCUUAAUCUUCAACGAGGAAUUCCUAGUAAACGCUGGUCAUCAACCAGCAUUGAUUACGUCCCUGCCCUUUGUACACACCGCCCGUCGCUACUACCGAUUGAAUGGCUUAGUGAGUUUCAGGGAUUGUUGUAUCUGCGUGGUUCGCCAUUCUGGUACAUCCGAGAACUGAAUCAAACUUGAUCAUUUAGAGGAAGUAAAAGUCGUAACAAGGUAUCCGUAGGUGAACCUGCGGAUG
rnacentral:rRNA from 1 species